GCCAACGAGCCUGGGUGGCCUCCUGUGUACAGGGGAUGGGGCAGGACUAGACGCGGCCUUGACAACCAUUAGAGCGCCUCGGGAUGGGAGGCUGGGAGACUACAUUUCCCAGUGGGCCCCGCGCGGGCGGGCGGGAAGCUGGGCGCCUCGGGCUCAGUGCGCAGGCGCCAGACCCUCCUUUGGCUAUAUAAAGGCGGU
rnacentral:lncRNA from 1 species